CCCGCAACUGCAACUGAAUCAUCCUACAAGUAUGAUGAAACGUGGCCUCAGUCCAGAAGAAACUAAAGAAAUAAUUUCCUCCAAAGCAGUUCAGAUAUUCCCAGUCUUACUUGCAGGACAAGAUGCUGAUCUUAAUCGAAUCACAAACAAAGGAUACGUUGUUUCCCGAUACAUAUCAUAUUCCAUAACGGCAGAAGGAUACAUGGAUAAGCGACGAUGUUCUCCCCCAAUUUGGCAAGAUCUUGGUAUAAUUCCUGCUCCAAUAGGAAAUGAUAAUGGCCAGCGUCCGGGUCUUCAAAAAGUUAUCGACGAAAAUCGGUUCCCAAAAUAUAUUUCACAUCUCAGA